AUUGAACGCUGGCGGCAUGCUUUACACAUGCAAGUCGAACGGCAGCGCGGGCUUCGGCCUGGCGGCGAGUGGCGAACGGGUGAGUAAUACAUCGGAACGUGCCCAGUAGUGGGGGAUAGCUCGGCGAAAGCCGGAUUAAUACCGCAUACGACCUGAGGGUGAAAGCGGGGGAUCUUCGGACCUCGCGCUAUUGGAGCGGCCUAUGGCAGAUUAGCUAGUUGGUGGGGUAAAGGCCUACCAAGGCGACGAUCUGUAGCUGGUCUGAGAGGACGACCAGCCAGACUGGGACUGAGACACGGCCCAGACUCCUACGGGAGGCAGCAGUGGGGAAUUUUGGACAAUGGGCGAAAGCCUGAUCCAGCAAUGCCGCGUGUGUGAUGAAGGACUUCGGGUUGUAAAGCACUUUUGGCGGGAACGAAAAGGACUGUGCCAAUACCACGGUUCGAUGACGGUACCCGCAGAAUAAGCACCGGCUAACUACGUG
rnacentral:rRNA from 1 species